rfam:Triticum aestivum genome assembly, contig: Triticum_aestivum_CS42_TGACv1_scaffold_050455_1BS
CAUGUACUUCCUCUGUCCGGAAUUACUUGUCAUGGAAAUGUAUAAAAAUGGAUGUAUCUAAAACUAAAAUACAUCUACAUACAUCUAUUUCUUCGGCAAGUAUUUUCGAAUGGAGGGAAUAUGUG